GAACUUGUUUUUUUUCCCCCCUCAUCAGUGUCACUGUUACGGGGAGAUUCGUGACAGUCACAUUGAUCUUCCGUUUCUACUAGGAAGUCAACGCAACAGCAGUCAUUUCGGAGUUCUGUUUCUUUUUUUAGUUUUUUAAAAUCUUUUUAAACUGGGGAGAAUGCUCUUAUUACUUUUUCUUCUGAAUGUCAAAACAGGGUUCAGUGCUGAGAUCUCUGUGUUUGUGCAGACGGGGGCUUCCAUUCAGCUGGAUAUACAGACACAAGAACUACCAGAGUUUGAUGAUUUUUCCUGGAAACAUGAUCGAUCAAAGAUUAUAGUUAAAUAUUUAAGUACAUCUAAAGUAGAAAGACUUCAUGCUUCCUAUAAGGACAGAGUGGAUUUCAAUAAUAAAACCUUUUCUCUAACACUGAAGAACAUGCAGAAGACAGACAGUGGACUCUACAGAGCAAUAACAGCUGCAGAAUCAGACACCAAUAUUGUUACAUACAAAGUAUCUGUUAUAGACACUGUGGAGGCUCCUGUACUGACUGUAAACUCAAGCUGGUUUGACGGUAACUCCUGCACUGUGAACUUCACAUGCAGAGCACAUGACCUCAUACUCAAUUCCAUGUAUAGUGGCAAAUGCUCUCAAAAGGAAGUGCAGUCAAAUGGAAACAACAAUCUCACCCUGAACUGCAGUCAGAAAUCCAUCAUCUGUAAUCAUAGCAACCCUGUCAGCUGGAAAGAAGACAGAAAAUACAUUACACAGCUCUGUGUAAUUAAAGAGAAAUACGUAUUUCAAUCUUUCUGUACUGCAAAAAAGGUAUGUCAAUGUUGCCUCACACACAUGCUCUAUGAAAAACUGAUCACUCUUAAUUGAUUUGAUCAAUUAAGUACUUUACUGCUUUUGUAAAAUAAUUAAAAAAAAUGAUGCCAUUUUUCCCUUUUAGUCAACUGUAAUACUGUAGAAUACUGUGUUCUCCCACCUUUAAUAGUUCUCGUCCCCACUGAAUAUCCUCUGCUCAGAUCAUUUAAACGUCAAAGUUAGUAACCAAUUAGAAAAGAUCUUUAAGAACUACUUAUCUUAAACUCAAGCACAUUCUAGGUUUUCCAGUUUAGAGUUAAUUUUUUAGUUUCCAUAAUCACCUUGACAUAACACAGCCUGUUCAGGUUUAAAUGUCGCAAUGUAUGCACAUGUCUACAAUGAGGACUGAUACAUAUUGGUUCUUUGCUGGUGCCAAAUAAUAAUUUAAGAAUAGAAUAUAUUAUUAUUGUUUGAUAAGUCCUAACAUUAAUAUAUGGCUGUUUAUUCUAAACCUCACAGGUGCCCAGGAGGAGGUAGUGGCAGGUAGUACAGUCAAGUUCAUGUAAGCUUCAAAUUAUUGUUUAUCAUUAAGCUGUACAUCCAUUUCUGCAUUAUUUGUUUUUGUUGCUGUAAUGCCACGCCAGCAGAGGGGGCCCUUACCCAUGGACUGCCUGUUGCCGCUCCCUCUGCUGCUUCUAUGGUUACUUCCUGUUUGGCCAUUUAAGGAGGGCCAUUCCAAACAGGCUUCGUGAAGUAUUGUUCUGCCUGUGUGGACUCUACCAAGCGGUUUCCCUGAGUUUCUUGCCUUGUUUUUGUUUUUUUCCAUGGUUUUGUGUCUUAGUCAUAGUUUUGCCUUGUGUUUUUUUUGCCAUAGUUUUGUCUUGCUUUAUUGCCAUAGUUUUUCCUAGUUUCAUAGCCUUGUUCAUUUGUCACUUUGGACUGCUCUCUCUUGGAUUUUUACCUUCUGCUUGCUUAUUUGGAUUUUGCUUUUGUCUUGCCUACAUGUUACUGUUUGUUUGGAGAUCGACCCUGCCUGUCUUGACUACUCUGUGUUUAAUAAAGCUCGCAUCUGAAUCUAACAUGCUUCACUAGAAUCCCGUUACAGAAUACUUCGCCUACCAAAGAUCCAGCGGCUUUCAGAACACACAACUUCAACCAUGGAUCCAGCAUCACGCCUCUUCUGUCUCCGCCAAGGCUGAAGCCCAAACACAAGAGGAAACGGGAGAUAAUCAACAGUCCCCCAUGAAACAGACCAUACUUUUAUUCAGAACCAAACCAGACACCACCCGCCAUUUCACCAGAUGACACUUAAAAUGAAACUGGCUAUGUGUCAUGAGGAAGCCGUCACAAGACUCAUCUCAAAAUGGCACCCUUUGUUAUGUCUUAUGUUUUGUAUUCCUUGUGCUUUACUUUAUAUGUACUAUUAAUUUGCAUUUUGCCCUGUUCAUGUUUCCUGUUUCUUGUUUGUAGUUCCUUCGUAGUAAUCUCCAUCAUGUUACACACUGUUACUAUUCUCUGCAAUUUCGUUAUAUGGUUGUUGUUUUUUUAAAAGGAAAAAAGUAAAAAGUAGUUGUUUGUCCAAUUAAGUUGUAUUCUCUAGCAUUGAUUAACAUCCAUCUGAGCGUUAACAUCCACGAUCAAACUGCUAAAUAUUUUUGUGUGAAUUAUUUUUGUGCAUUUUGACUGAAAACCACUAGAUGGUGACAUUUAAUCUUACUUCUGGCCACAUGUUUUUCUCCAGUUAAACAUUUAUUUAUUUAUUAAAAUAAAUCAAGCUUUUGUUGAUUC